AACGCAAGUUGCGGUUUUCUUUCGCAAACCAUGUUUGGCUGAGGGUUGUUUCACACAAAUUGAGGUGUGUUUUCUUCCUCUCUAUCGAGCGAGAAGAGAACUCCCUUUAAAUGCUGGUUGAAUUGAUGGGAUCAUUCUUUUGAUCCUCUCAGUUUCUUCUCUUGCUCUCUUCUCCUCCGGGAGACCAGAGCAAAGGCAGGAACCAUCAAUUUUCACCCACGAAAAACAAUAAAUAGCCUCGCAAGAGGCAAGCUUAAAGUGAGACUUGUCACCUUAGUGUGACUCGUCUUGCUUGCUUAACAAGCUCAUUUGUUGUUGGUCGUUUGAGGUGAACAUUGGAAUGGUCCCGAUAUAUAAACGCAACCUCAGAUCAAGCAAGACUACCCGCUGAACUUAA
rnacentral:misc_RNA from 1 species